AAAGAGCCUCAGGUGCCUGGAACCUCUCUGUGCCAACUUUAAGUACCCUCCCAUCUGGAAGAGUAUAAUUCUUAACAAGAAUUGUCGUUUCAAGCCCCAACUGAUACUCUCUCUUGUAAUCAUAACUAAUGUAGCAGAGCUUUUCUUUAAUAUCCCUGACAGUCUCAAAAUCGGCACUUCUAUUCAUUGCAUACCCUCUCCGAAGUAGCAGAUCAACCAUAUAAGACGUUAUAUGCCGUCCAGCUACAUUCAUUCUUUUCGUGAGGUGAGGAAAUGAGUAUCCAUCUACAACAGGAACAACAUGUGUAACUCCAUCACCUGAGUCGAUGACAAGCCCAGUCAACAAACCUUGAGCAUACAAUGUUAGAACGGCUUGAAUUUGGAUGAAGACACCAGCAAAGUUGUACUUCUCGAACAUGGUUUCUACCAUCAUUUCACGAUUUUUAGAUGGAUUGAGAGGUGGAUCUGUCAGGAGAAUUUUGCAUUCUGUUGGAUCUAUCUUCA
rnacentral:misc_RNA from 1 species